GUGAGAGUUUGAAUCACAUGCAGCAGCACAGACAUAGUGGCACUACCAUAAAGUUAAGUGGUUGUUAAAGGAUUUAAGAUAUCGCCCUCAAAGAUUGAAAAAGCUCCAUGGUAAUUUCACAUUGAAAACCUCACUGGAAGUUGAAGAAACUGGAACAUCUUGGGCUUGGCAUUUGAUGCCAAGAAUCUGGAAAACCUUGGAGGCUCUAUUGAGGCUUUGCAGAUCAGGCUGAAAGCUCAACAGUUUCCUCGGAGCUGUGUGUCCACGGGAGUGCCUCUGGGCAGCCCCUUGGCAUAGCCCUGCUCUCCAGCCUCGCACCUCCAGGGAUUUCCAUUUUAUUGCUCUCAACCCCGGCUCUCUGCAGGGGCCCACAGCAGAGUGGUAUUUUCCAGGAGGCACCGCAGAACUGUACAGGACAUGGUGCACGCAGUGUCACCCUGGGACGUAGCACAAGGAAGAGAAACUUCAGAUUUGAGCUGAAGCAAAGCUGGGUGCCACUCCAGACAAUGGCAUUGUGGCUCUGUGCCACAGAAGGCACAGGAGAACAGGGGCUCCUGUCCUGGGAUUGGAGAAACAAGAGACACUCAUGCUCAUCCCCAUAAAGUUAUCUGGUCCUUCUGGGUGGAUGAGGAGCCCCAGGGCCAAUUCUGCCACUUGGAGUUGGCAAAAAUGGUGUGGAAUGCUCACUUCAUGCCUGAGGCAAUGGGCUGGAGCACUUCUACUGCCUGUUCAUACUGUGGGUCCAGACAGGGUCCAAAUGCCUUCACAUGCUCCAUGAAUACACCUUACGUGACAGAAAAUCAAGCAUCCUGCACUGGUGCCAGCACCACGGAAAGGUGGGAGCACAGCCUUCUCCAGGGGUAGAGACCUCUUGGGACCGUGACUGCACUUCAAGCUGGUGUUCUGUGCCCUAUUCCUUGUGUCUGAGAGCCAUGGCCUUGGCUGCCACUGGACUUGGUCCCAGGUAGGUGACAGGGAGCCCCAGGAGGAGUGUGGGUUUGGGGCAUCACUCAAGAACCAAACCCUGAGUACCUCCAAGUGGCUCAUUUCCAUUUCAAAGAGCCCGUUUGUUUUAUCUGGCAAUUAGCUUGCACCCUCUGUAGAAAACAACUCCAUAAAUACCACCAAGCUCCUGGCUGAUCUCCCCUUUUAAAUAUUUUUUAAGUGCAUGAUUAAUACACUUUCCCAGCCCCUGUCUGGGACUGUGCGGGGAGGUCAGAGAGCAGGUAAAUGAAAGAAAAUGACUUCACUCGGCAUUGACUGGGCUAUUAAUCACUGCCCAUUUUCUAUAAAUCAUGGCAGAUGGCAGAAACAGGCAGGUACUCAUGGGAAAUGACACACUGUGCAUGACGGGAAUCGUGGAUCACAGCAGACAGCGGGGAAAAAAAGAGGUUACUCCUUGCCCUGCUGUCCCCAAUGGAGGAAGGCUACUUGCACUGCACCUGCGGUUCACCUCUGCAUGUCAGCUUUCUCCUGUAAAACCAGCUGUAAAAGUUUGGAGGAGCCCUGGAAAAUUCCCCACAUCACAGCUGGACUGGAUGGGUCCAUCCAGGGAUGUCUCUUUCUCAUCAGGUGUGGAGGCAGUGGUGGGGAGGGUUUGCAUCAUGUGGGUGAGUGAGUGCUGGGAACAAUAAGCCCUGAGUGUUAACAUCUUUUAAGCCACUAUGGUGAGGGAUACUUUUAAUUGCAGCAACAAUUUUGCAUGUAGUAGACAAUAAAACCCAACACCAACAUCCUUUGCCUGAGAGCAGAUGCAGAUGGGAAAUGUGGGAGAGGAACUUACACUGAUAAAGAUAGGCAGGCAGAUAAAUCAUAAAUUGAGCAUGCAUUUGGCAGCAGUGUUCAUCCAGGCACUUUCUAUGCUGUAGUCUCGGUGGAUUCCCUUUGCAUGAAUGGGAAAUAUGGGCACUCUCUCUCUGGAGUGGGUGACCCUCUUCUAAUAGUGCCCUGCAAUGCUGUGGAAGUUUUGUUCCCAAACCCUGUGCCUGUAAUGAAUCUAUAGCAGCAGCUUUAGGUGGUGGAAAGCAGCUAUUUUUUUUUUUAGGAGGAUACGCAAUGGUAUAUGCAUAAAUGAAUGAAGAGUAUUUUCUAUGAAGGUUGUAUAAAAGAUAAGGCAAACACAAUUUAUAGGCUCUCUUCUCCUGCAAAUUGCCAGUUUCAAUGAAAUUAGUUGGAAUAAACCACUGUCCAUUUGGUAUUUCUUCCUCAGGGAAUGGGAUUUUUCCUCUCACCUCUCUUUUCUACUGUAGAGGCACAGGGAUGUAUUUUGCCCUCCUUAGGUGCAAGGGGAGCUUAUGUUGAGCUCAUCAGUUUUGCUUUCCCAUACACUUGCACUCCCCUGCUGACCCCAGCCAGACCUGCAGCUGGGUGCCCUUGGUGCUGCUGGGCAAGGAGAGCAGCAUUGCUGCCCGCAGUGACUCCUGCAGCUCUCACCCCCAGCCCUGGUACACAACAGCAACAGCUCCCUUUUCUGCUGGCAAAACAGCUGGAAGAACAAAACGGGCCUGUGCCAGGCAGCUCGAGCUGGACCUCCCAGCUCAGGCACGACCAGCUGGGAGAAACUGCUCCAGAGCAGGGAAAAACAGGGUCAUCUGCUCCAGGUCAGACUCUGUCCUGUCAGCAGGGAAAAGGAUGGACAAAGUUUGGGGGGUGGAUGUUGUAAGUGGGCUUAAAAUGAUGAAGCACAGCUCAUGUCCAUCCCUGUGAAGGUUAAUAUGGAGAAUAGCUACCAAAGAGGCAUGGUGGAUGGUUGAAUGUGCCAUGGUGAGCGUAUGCUGGUAGGCUGGCAGUGGGUGCGAGCGUACAUGGGUGUCACAGGGGCUUGCAGGGAGACAGACCCGGAAAGUAAGCUGGAAAGAAGAUAAUCCUGCAAGUGUGUGACCUGUGAAGGAAGAAACAGCCUCAAAAGAAGCCAAAAGGACCCAUGAAGAGAGUGGGUGAUGUGAAGCAGAAGACAUGUAAGAUCCGGAGACAUGGAAUAUGCUGUAGCCAAGAAAGCUUCACAUUAUAAAGAGCAGGCGGGGUGAUGGAGAGGAUGGCAUGGGGACUUCAAACACCAGCUGGGUGGCCCUGGUGCUCGCCAAAGACAUUUUCCCCAGCCCAGGAGCUGCUUGGGGACAUCGUGUUGCUCCUACCGGCACAGCUGGAUGGAGUGAGGAGGAGGGCUGGUUGCCUCCACAGGCAGCUGUGUGCAGAUGUUUUCCAGGGAGGGAAGAGCAGCGAGGGCGUAGUUUGAAAGGAAGGGGAAAAAUUGUAGCGGGACCUGAAGAAAAACUGCUGCUGAAGGAGACCCAGCUCUCAGGGGCUGUCUGCAGCAAUGUGGGGUGAAAGCCUUUUUUAUCUUUCUUUUUUUUUUUGGCAUUGAUGUCCUUCCUUCCACUCAAUAUGUUAUUGAAACUGGAUGUUUUUGACACCAAACUGGCCCUGCUUGACUGUGCUGGGCUCUCCAGCCACGCCGUAUCCCUGCUGCCCUGGUCACAGCCAGGCUGGAGAAUCUGCAAGGAGCUUUGAGGAGAGGGCUGGGUCCUCCACCACUUCCUGAUCCCCCCCCAGCUUCCCCGUAGGCCCCAUGGGGGCCUAAUAUUUGUGCGUGUGUGUUUUAACACAGCAUAUGGUCUUCAUUACACGCAGACUUCUCACUUCCAUAAUUAUACCAUGAUGGGAGUUCCUGUCAAAGUCAUAAAGCAAAUUCUCUUCCCCUGCCCCAUCCCUCCACCCUCACCAGCCCUCCCCAUAAAACUCACAGGGGUCUCCAGUUUGCAAGGAGAACCCCCCUCAGUAGUUGCACCGUUAACCCUUUGCAUCCUCUGUUUUGGCAGCAGUUGGAGGAAAGACUGACUUUCCACAUUGGCGCUUGCUUACAAGGCAAGGUGAAUGGGGUGUCCAGAUUCUGGCUGCAUGAGAAAGAGCAUAGAGAGCUGGUGCUGCUUAAACUAUGUUGGGGAAGCAGAGGGGCAAGUGGCAGCUUAACACAGCACCCUCCUUUCCUGCUUUCUCUCCAUCCAUGAAGCGUGCUGAACCCACCCACUGUCGAAAUACAAGCCCCUCUGGGUAGCGCAUGGCAGCUGUUUAACAACACAGUGCAACACUACCCUACAGUUUAGGACAGGAAAUUAAGGCGGCUGUAUCUGCAGGGGGAAUUUAAGUACACAGACUGCAAUUACCUGUGCUGGAGUUUGGCCAGAGCCCUGCUCCUCCAAGAGCCACUGCUGGACCUGACACCGAUGGCCGGUGCUCAGGUACUGUGGGGCCACCACAGCUCCUGAGGCUGCGGGCAGCUUGGGGUCAUGCCCAAACCUUGGCUAAGGUGGUUGGAGGCAGGAAAACAUGGAGAACUUAAGCAUGUGUGGAAAGGCAGGGUUUUUUUAGCGAUGCUGCUGAAUUGAGAGGCACUGAGGUGCGGUAAAUCUAGGUGCUCUUUUGCUUGGUGACUGACUGGAAAAUGGGUUUGGAUAGUCCUUAUUUGCACUAGAAAUAGUGAGUACUGGAGGGGACAACUUCUCUUAACCAAGCCUUGCUGGUUCCUAAGACAGGGUGAUGCUAAGAGUCACGAAGGGACCCAUUGACCUGAUGGCUUUUGACAGUCAUUGGGAUGUUCCCGGUAGGCAUGGGCAGACAGGUUGCAAAGGGCUUAUCCAGGCAUCACACAAGUAAUACUGUUCAGCACCAUGCUUGCCAUGGUGAGAAAAAUCUGAUUUCCCACUAGGUGGUAGAGAAGAGCUUGGCUGAAACUCCUCUUGCUUCUCAUAGCUGAGCACAACGGAAGGGAGGUCAUACAAAACUAGAGACCUCUGUUUUAACCAAGACUCCAGCAGACCCAAAUAAACCAGGGGUGCUGGGAGAGAGGCAGCAUGUGUGGAGGCAGAGAGUGAGUUUGGUGCAGGUACCAGCAACUCAGUGAGCCCCAGGUCCUGCUCACCACCACCCAUGGUCCCUGCUGCGCCAGGCACAGGCAGCACAUUUGUUUUGACACCUGUGGGUGUUUAAUGACCGUUUACUGACUGGUCUUAGGAAACAUAUUUUGAAAUGGGCUGUAUCUAUUAGAAAGAAAGAGAGGUGGGGGGAGAAUGCGUCCGUGCUGAUUGCAAGGGGGCCUAGCAUCACCAAAGCCCAUCAAGGAGUUGGUGAGCUUUGCCCGAUGUCUGGGCUGCCUGCUUACCACGUGUCAGCACCUUUAGUGUUUUCCACUGAUGUUAACUCCCUGUAUCUCUCCCUUUUUUCCCCUCCCACAACUCAAACACAUCUACUUUGGCAGCAAUUCUAACCAGGUACAUGUGAGUUAUUCCCAUGUAGGAUUCAUACCCAGCAUGGAUGGAGAGAUGAACAGAUUGCCAGGAGGAGCCCUGCUGCCUGAAGAAGGUGACGUUUCCCAUUUUGAUCUCCACUGCUCCCGGUGACAACCCAAGGCUGGGAUUCACAGCACCCCCGGGUGACUGGUGUGCCUGGGUUGCUUCAUCGGACCCUGGAAGACCAGAGAAGUGGCAGAAGCCUGAAGGGGUCACACCUGCAUGCAGGAUCAAACACACUUGGCUCCUGCCUGACAUGAGUUUUGGCAAUCCACAGUGCUGGUGCUGAUCCUUGUGAAGGGUAGUGAAUCUGACCUGCGUUGCAGACACAAGCAGCAAAUUCAUCCCUGCAUGUGGGAGCCUGGACAUCACGUCUGUGUGUGGAGGAGGCAUGCAGAGCUGCUGAGCUUUUGCAAGUUUUCUGCCAGGCUCAGGGGACACUGGAUGCUGUUUUGUCGGCCUGAGAAGAGGAAACGUUACUUUACUGUAAACAAAUGAAAGAGUGGCCAAAACCUGCAUCCAGCAGUGACUCAUCUGCAUUCCCACAGGUCAAGGUCAGAGUGCCUAUUUGAAGGUGGAUGUUUCCUAAUGUGCAGUCGUUGGUAACCUAAAGCAGGUUUAUGACAUAGCCAAGAUCAGGCAUUAAUGCAAUAGACUGGUAAUUCAAUCACUUUAUAGAAGUUGAUCUGUCCUUUUUAUUACAAUUAUUGUCAGCCAGGGUGUUUCGUUCCAUCACUGAAAAUAAACAUCAUUUAUCAUACUUGUAAAGAUUAGCCCUUGACAGCUCCAGCUCUGCUUUGCAUAAAUGUGUAUUAAUGUCGGCUCUGUCUGAAGUGGAGAGAGAAGUCUAUAUUUCACAAGAAUGAUUAGACAGUGUCACCACUGCUUUAAGUAAUGUCUUAUCAUGACGGAUAAUCAAACUGUGAGAAAAAAAAAAAAAAGAAAAUAAAAAAAACAACCAGAAAAAGGCAAUUUAUUGCAUAUGCAUUUUUUGCUUUAUUGGCCUGAGAUAUAGCAAUACUUUUGCUGCUGCAAUACUGAGGUUCCUACUGUCCAAGCUCUGAGCUGGUGUUGCUCCUCUGGGUUUCAGGAGGAGCGUGCUAUCACUGCUCAUGAGCAGAGCUGGGACUUCCAGGUUUCUGUGUGGCUGCCUGGGUCUUCCCAUUUGAAGACCCAGCAGUAUGUAACUUUGCCAGACUUUUAACGGUCCAUCCCUCCAGCUGAACUUGAUUUGGAAAGUUUCAGCUAAAAUGAUUCUGAGUGAGAUUAAGGGAAAAAUAUGAUGUCCAGGCUAAAAUAUUCUUAGAGACAUUUUACAGAGAAGCUCUAGGGCUCCUGGACUUGGGAGCAAGACCUAAACAGUUAGCAUGGGCCUAUCCUCAGGUCAGGGCUGCACUUUUGCUGCUUCCAUCAACAUGUACCAUCAUUCAUUGCAGGAAAUACAUAUAUAUAUAUAUGUAUAUAUAUAUCUGUUUGUCAGUGUGUAUUUUAGAGGUGCUAGAGCUCCGCUACCAAACUCUGCACCUCCAUGAGCUCAGUGAGUGCUCCAAUCCACAACCAAAUGUGCUUUGACCACCUCCGCAGCUGUAUCAAGCUGGCUGUGGGAGUAAAUAGGACUUUUCUUGCAAAUCUGCUGGUGGCAAUGUGUUUAGGGUCUCAGCUGACAACAGGGACUCUGUUCCAGGGGCUAUGUGUCCUUGCAGUCAGCAUGGAGGAUAUCUGGCUGGCAUCCAGAAGGAUGAAGAAUAACUAAAAACAUGAGCUGAAGUCUUGCUCUUUGCCGGUGGAGCCAGGCCAAUGCCAAGAAUGUGUCCUUGUUUGCUGGACUGUGUUGGGACAGAAACGGACAUGGGCACCAACAUCCAUCAGACACUGACUGUAAGUCAGAUUCCUGCUGUGGUUCAGAAAAAACAACUCUGUGACUUUCAUGCAAGAAUAUCAGAGCUGAAGAAAAGUCUUUCUCGGACUCAGUAUUGGGCCUAGUUUCACCGGUUUUAGAAACUGAGGAAAUGAAACCAAACCCCAUGUGUGUUUUCAGGUGCCAUUUUUGGUGAGCUGGAGAAAUUCUAGUAUGGCACUGAAAAUCUUUGUGAUUUCUGGUCAUCACAUCUGGCCCAGGUUGUGGAGUGGGAGUGUUUGUGCGAGAGGAUCUCGCUGCUGGUUUUCAGAAAUGAUUUCCUGUGGUUAUGUCUUCAGUGGAAAACAAACAAAUAAACCAAAAAAACAACCCCUCAAACAACAAACAAACAAACAAAAAAACAAACCAGAAAACCAACCCUCAAACAAACAAACAAAAGCAACAAACACUCAACAACCUGGAGGCAUGGAUCCUUAAAAACAAAUGUCAAAGAAAGCAUUUGAUUUAUAAUCUUAGCAUUUCUAAUGCAGCUACCUUAUUUUGGGAGGCUUGUGAUUGAGAUCAAUGUUAAUUGAAAAUGAUGUUUUGAAAUUAGCCCACUGUGGAAGUAUCUCAUUGAAUCAGAUCCUAAAGGAGCAAUAAUACCUCAAAUAUCAUACAUGAGAACAAAUGAACUUCUUCCCUGCAUAAAUAACUGCUACUUCUUCUAUUAAGAAACAUUAAAAAUACUGGAACUAUAUUGAGUGCUUCUAUUGCUAUUUUCUCCUUUGAUUUUUUUUGUAUGUCAGCCCCAGUUUAUUCACUUUCAGGUUACAGUUUCUAGCAGUUUCACCUUCUCUGUUCUAGUUUGGAGCUCGUCGUGAUGCACAAAACACUGCUGCACAGCCUCCCCUUUGCCAAAGAACCUGAAAUUGAAACUUCACCCUGGAAUAAAACUGAAAAAAAAACCCCAAAACAUAAGCUGAAGUGCCUGCCUCAAAGCAGCUGGGGUGAAGGAGCCAGUUGUCAGUGGUAGGGGAAGGAGCGGUUGAGGAUGGCUUUGGGACCGUUAGUUGUUGAACCAAUGCUGAUUUUAGCCAGUGGUAUUAGCAACUGGUGCUUUUUGAAGUGCUAAAAGCUUUGGACACAGAUUACUAUGUGCAUAUUUCAAUUUCCCUUAAAUCCGGGGAGAUUUCCUCUUAGAGUUCGAGCACAGACUCUCUUUUUUUUUUUUUUUUUUUUUCGGUUCAGCUAGAUUGUGCUUGAUGGGGACUGUUAACUGAAUACAGCAUAUUAUAUAUUACUUCAAUAAAUCACCGACAGCUGAAGCAUUCAAUAUCAUGCAGAGCAGUAAUCAGGGGAAGUCUUAAUCACACUUUAAAUGGUCUGGAUUUAUGCUCUGCUUUCCACAGGCUCCUGUCACUGCUGGAAAGGGGUGGAGGCUCCCGGGUGGCCCACCAGGACUGGUCCAGCCUGGUGCCAGGGGCCAAGAGUACAGCCAGGGUACAGGGUUUGUGCCAGGGGUGCAGUGCUCAGACCAAUGAGGAUGAACAGCUUUGGUGUUAUUCCUGGAGCUAUUUGUACCUAUGCAAUGGCCUCUUUAGGUUGCCUAGAGCUUUUGGGGUAAAAAGGAGCCACUCUGGCACUGUAAACAGCUGCUUUUACUGUGUUGAAGUUGCACAGAUGUGUUGCAAGUCCUGGCUUUGUUUUGACAGAAAAAAUGUAUUUUAACAUAAAAUUUUGUUUUUAAAGAAAUCAUCAGAUAAGAGCAAACCCAGCUGCUGUAAUCCUUUUUUUUUUUUUUUUUUUCUUUUUUUGCUAUUCCAUUUGCAUUUGGUCCAGGAGAUUAACAACACCUCCUGGAUUUUUGUCAGGGUGUGGGAGAAGCAAAGACAGAGAGCUGGCUUAAAAAACAAAAAACAAAACAAGUCACAAAAUGCCUAAAUAUAGUUUUUAAACAAACUAAUUUAUGAUUGAUGAUCUGACCCACGAAGACUUUCCAUCAAAGUAAAACUUUACAGCCAACAGACAUGGGCAGCAGGUGCAUGUGGGUCUCUUGUUGGUGAAUGCCAAGUGUCAGCCCACCAGCAGCCACCGGCGAAGGAUGGGAACCUUCCUCCCCAGAAUCGUCACACGCCUGACCUUCACCUUUCCCUUGCAAUCAUAUGCAGAUGUGCAUGAUGUAAUCUCUCCUGGCCACAAGGAGAAAAAGAGGCGAAAUCAUAGCAGAAAACAAUAGCCCUUUUUGGGGGGAAUUUGACUGUUUUGGUUAACUCUGGUCCCUGGAGUAUGACGGCACCUGUGAGCGCUGACACCGGGCAUGGCCACUUGCUGGGGACUUCUGGCGGGGCGGUGGGGAGAUUCGGGGAGGUUAAUGGACUUGUUAACCUCAUCUGGCUGGGAGAGCCCUGCGCCGGCUGCCUUUUCCAGCUCAGAAAUACUUUGUGGGCCUUUUCAGCUGAAGAGAGCAAGCCUCCCACCCCAGCAUUAAACACAGUCACACCGCCUCUGCCAUAAAUUAUUGCUCUUGUAGUGGAAAUUUGAACAAGACUCAAGCAGAUCUGAGAUGCAGCAGCUGAAAUGGUUAAAUAAUAGUCCUACACAGAGGAAAUUCUCCCAUAAUGGUGGAUUUAAGUUGCAAGGAGCUUUGGUAUCUGGCUGUUGGGUUCGUCCCCUCCACCCUCUGUUUUGUUUUUCACUCAAUUCCAUGUUGUUCAUGUUUCUUAAUAGGGCAUCUUUCAUUAUCAUUAUCCCUAAUAGUGGUUUAUUGUAUUAGUUACAGUUAAUUUAAAUGUUACUGAAGCAUUGAAAACAGAUUGCAGAUGUUUUGAAACAGAUGUUAUUUUAAUGUUAAAACAAAAUCAUGAAUAUUUAUGGAUCAUUAUUGCCUGGGUUGAAUUAGACUCUUUAAAUAGUAAUG